UACGGAGGGGGCUAGCGUUGUUCGGAAUUACUGGGCGUAAAGCGCACGUAGGCGGCUUUGCAAGUUAGAGGUGAAAGCCCGGGGCUCAACUCCGGAAUUGCCUUUAAAACUGCAUCGCUAGAAUUGUGGAGAGGUAAGUGGAAUUCCGAGUGUAGAGGUGAAAUUCGUAGAUAUUCGGAAGAACACCAGUGGCGAAGGCGACUUACUGGACACAUAUUGACGCUGAGGUGCGAAAGCGAGGGGAGCAAACAGG
rnacentral:rRNA from 1 species